UAGGGAAUAUUGGUCAAUGGGCGAGAGCCUGAACCAGCCAUGCCGCGUGCAGGAAGACGGCCUUCUGGGUUGUAAACUGCUUUUAUCAGGGAACAAAAAGGCCAUGCGUGGCAAAUUGCGUGUACCUGAGGAAUAAGCACCGGCUAACUCCGUGCCAGCAGCCGCGGUAAUACGGAGGGUGCAAGCGUUGUCCGGAUUUAUUGGGUUUAAAGGGUGCGUAGGUGGUCAAUUAAGUCAGUGGUGAAAGCCAACAGCUCAACUGUUGAACUGCCAUUGAUACUGGUUGACUUGAGUAUAGAUGAGGUAGGCGGAAUUUAUGGUGUAGCGGUGAAAUGCAUAGAUACCAUAAAGAACACCGAUAGCGAAGGCAGCUUACUAAACUAUAACUGACACUGAGGCACGAAAGCGUGGGUAGCGAACAGG
rnacentral:rRNA from 1 species